AUCAUCUCUAUCAUCCUAUCAUCCAUAUAUGUCUUGUAAUCAUCCGCAAAAACCCACAUCACAUCGACCUUCCGCAUAUCCACAAUAACCAUUCAAUUCCGAUCCCGUCUCGCUUCACUUCACCCACAUUCCUCCGCGUCUCUUCCUUCUCGGAUGUCAUCCGCUGCAUCUUCCAAGCGAGCCCUGCUCGCCGAGGACGCUCCGUGGAGGGCUACACCCGGCGGCAGUAAGCCCGUUCCCAGGAUCCAUCAGAACCCUGUUCUCCGGCUACGGCAAAAUCCUAGCUCAAGCUAUGCUCUUGCUGUCAUGAAGCAUCCUGAUCCGAUUGGAGGGGGUUUCGCUACUGAGGCUAAGCUUGAAGCUGCGGGCCCUGAAUGUGUUGUACCCGGGCAGGCCACCCCUGUGAAGCUUCUUGGAUUGAAGGUUUGGCCUAUUGAUAUUAACUUGAAAUUUAUGGAACCUGUUGGACGGGAAUUGCAAUCUAUUGGGAAGGUCCUAAACUACUUAUGGAAUUGGCCAAUAAUUUCACAUCACAUGCUACUCAGAUUAUUCAAUGGUUUCUCUUAAAUUUAUUGGAAGGUUUGGAAUAAAGUUAUUCAGCUUGGGUUUUCCAAGUGACAAGAGUGUUCAUGGAUUCUGCAGUGAACCUCAUGAAUGCAUCAUUUCAAGAUCGUUAGCCGAUGGUUUGGUAGUUUGUAAAGCUUGAAGAUAGCAUGCAACAAGCCUGAUAUCUGUUGAUAUCCGAAUGUUAUAGAGCAUACAUAUGAUUUGCCUAAAUGCGGCAUUAGAUUGGCUUGAGUUCAAGGGAGGCAACAAAAUUAAGUGCAAUUGAAGUAUAUUUGUAUAUGAGCAGAACAUUUUCUUCUUUGUGCUGGAUAUUGGUUUGAAGUUUGUAUUUCAGUCAAAAUACGUUCAUAUAGACAUUAAUAAGACGUGAAGUAUUCUCUAUUAAAUUUUA